UACGUAGGGUCCGAGCGUUGUCCGGAAUUACUGGGCGUAAAGCGCGCGCAGGCGGCCCGCGAGGUGAUCACGUGAAAGCCCCGGGCUCAACCCGGGAGGGUCGUGGCAAACCGGCGGCUUGAGGCCGGUAGAGGUGGGUGGAACUCCUGGUGGAGUGGUGUAAAUGCGUAGAGAUCAGGAAGAACACCCGUGGCGAAGGCGGCCCACUGGGCCGGUACUGACGCUGAGCGCGA
rnacentral:rRNA from 1 species